ensembl:ncRNA lncRNA:CR44109 long non-coding RNA:CR44109
AUGAUUGAGCUGCUAACGAGUUAGACCCCGUUUCUUUCCACUUUAAUUACAUUAGAAACACUUAAGCGGAAUUUCUUUCUGUGUACUGUCUGUGUACAAACCAGCCUGCACCCUCACACUUUCAUGAGUGCCAAUGAGAAAAAGCCAGAAGGAAACUCACCAACACUGCGACUGAACGAUAUAGUGCAGACAGGAGGGAGUCGCAUAAAAAUGCCAACUGUCCGGUUGUGUGACUGAGCCUGUCAGCAGGACAUGAGCAGGACACUGAGCCGGAGACACGGCAAAGUAAAUAGAUUUCGAAUCUCGAAGCUUCAGCGAGGAUUUCGCAAACACGCUGUACUGUGAAAGAAAAAAUUAGAAGGCCAACAAACAAACACCAUGUAGAGGGGCGCAGCUAAAGGAAAUGACACACGGAGAAGAAAUAUUAUCAGUUUUGGCACACCAAAUUAAAUGGGGUGCCUUCGAACUAGUUUCACUUUUAAAAUAAGUAAUUAAUAGUACCAAAACGUUUUUGCAAACUAUGGGCGUGACUGGAGUGAAAGGUUGGUAACUAUUAUCUGCAUGCUUUUCUCAACCUACUUAAUUUUAUAGUUCCGAUAUAUAGACAUUCAUACUGACGGACAGAUGCACUGAUCUUGGGAUCUUGAUCACGAAUAUAUGUACAUACUUCAUAGUGCCGAAAAGAAAACUGCAGCACUGCAAACUGGCACUCUAAGUGCACCCGCUAAACACCGGGUGUCUAGGUGAUCGGCACAUACGACGCAGAGUCCCGAAUUGAUUCGGGUGCGCAAACACCCGGGAGCUUGCCUGCACAUGCAUUUGAUUUGAUUUAAAUAACAGUAUUGCAUGUAGAGCGUCAGGAUAAGGAGCCAGGAUAACGCUGAUGAAUGCCUGCCAGGGCAAAAUAAGUGAGAAUGAAAAACUGACGCGUAGACUGACAGGUGGGCGUGGAAAAGUGGGAAAAUGCACGGCAACUCAAAGUACUCGGGCGGCGUUACAACAGCAACAUCAGGGUAAGCAUACGAGGUUUCUCAUUGCAACAGACGGUGUUUGCCCCAAUCGCAAAUGGUGUUCGAUACAAAUGCAAAUGAGGAACGAAAAUUGCAAUCUAUAUACAUGUAUAUAUGUAUGUAUCGAUAG